UGAUUGAGUAGGGAGUGGAAAGGAAAAGUGUGGGGGGUGUGGUGUGUGUGUGUGUGUGUGUGUGUGUGUGUGUGUGUUUCACUGAAUGCCUGAAGUAUGAUAAAGGCAGACAUUUAUUUUUGCCUGUCUUAUUCAGAAUCAGGUCUUCUAGGCCUUCCUGGAAGCUCACCGCUAGGGUGGGAGUGAUAUACCUGGGGUCGUCUCACCUGGCCAUGACUCUCUUGAUAGUUUGUUUAGAAGCCAUAAGUCACUUAUUUUAUUUAGCAUUCCAGACAAUCGGCUGAUUAGGAGGGUGAAAUAGUUCACUCUAAUCUCCACAUACUACUAAUCGAUAUGAUUUACAUAUGUUAUACCCAGACGUCACUACUAUAUUUUUUAUCUGCCUUUAAUCUGUAGCUAUUGUUGGAUCUCUAGCUAAUUUUGGUGAACAGAAGGCUAAUCUUUGAUCUCAAAGUAAAUUGAUCAAAUGGAUGAAUCAGGUGACAUUUAUGAUAAGUAACACCUUCAUCGGAAAAAUUUUAUUUUAUAAUCAUUUAGGAAUAAAUACAAUUCAGAAGUUUUUGACAUUCAGAUCACCAAUCACAUAAGACAGUAAUCAACCCACUAUGAUCUUAUUUUGGAGCAUUCAUCAUUCUGUUUUCUAAAUUCAAAAACUCUGAUCAGGGGCCAUCGAGUCUUCCCUGAAGUAUAUUUUUUUUCUGGAAUGAAGUUUCAUAUGGUUAUUUCUUAUCCAGUAGCUAAGGAAAAUGACUUCAUCAAAUGCUUUCUUUGUCUCAGCCUGAACUUCCAACAUUUCCUCCUAAAUUCUCCAGGAAUUGUCCGUAAGACAACUCAUAAAAACAAAAAUCAAUUGAGGUGCCUCAGCCUCAGAGUCUGCUCUGAAUAGCCUAGUGUAAGUGACAAAAUAACACUUUUUCCAUGAAUAAUUUAUUUAUUUAGGCCCAUGAAGAGGCAACUUUGAUGUUCACAUCAUUUGACUUAUCCUGCGUCACUUAUUUAUAUGUCCCAGUAACAUUUAUCUAGAUAAGUGUUUACUUACAGCUAUGAUUUCUUUUCUUUUCCCCUCCUCUCUUUUUUUUCCCACAUCUGAGAUGCUAUUACAGUUUAGAACUGCAAGAUGGGAUAAUGCUAAAGAGUCCUUUUGGCAUCUAGAUAUCAGACCGAGUGAUGUACUCACAGAGGAACACACAACUGUGUAUACAUACACACAGACACAUACACACACACAUCUAGUGUAGAGCAUAUAUUUUAUGGUCAUCAACCACUUUCAGAUGGAACAGACAAGUAGUCCUUGGAAAAACUGGCUUCAAUCUUGCUGUCCAGGGAAAGUCCCUGCUUCAAUCUUCUUUCUUGAUACACUGCAGUGGCUUCAUGGUAUGUCUUCUUUGAUGGUGAACUUUCUUGAAGCUGAACUUCGAACUCACCUAUCCCCACUGCAGAAUCUUCCAAGUUCCAAAGUAAGUACUCAUUGAAUCAUUUUUUGCUUUGAGGAGUAAUUCUGAAUACAAUUCUGCUUCGGGGGUUUGCAACAAGCUAGGUCAGAAGAGAACCUAUUUUGUUUUCCUGAUAGAGAGUAAUAGAAAGCAACCACACACACAUGCAUAUACACACAGGACACAGAAAUCUAGACAUGGUUUUUUCCAUUCUAAGUCACAGAGGGCAAACCUCAUAGCACCCAUCUCACAGUAAGGUAUGGUGAGGCAACAUCAGAUUUGUUUUCUGAUGCAAACUACGUGUUACAUUCCCCCCAGAGGCUGUGUGUGUGUGUGUGUGUGUGUGUGUGUGUGUGUGUUUUACACUGAGUUUAAUGCCCUGAAAGAGGAUCAGUAGCAUAUUAACUUAAUUUUCUCUGUUCUUAAACCACCAUCAGUGUCUCCCAAUUCAGUUCUAAGAAAGCUUCUCAUCCGUCGAGCCCUAUUCACUCAGAACCUUUUUAUCAGCCUAAAUUUAAAAAUAAGUCAAAUGCUUACAAUCCACAUUAGAAGGGGGAGAAAAGAGCCUCUAAAGUGGGCCAUGCCACUGUCAAUAUUCGAAGAUUGGUAAUUUUUCCCACUUAAUGAUGAUCCAUGUGGUUUGUUUUAAGUAGUGAAGUGGUUUGUACAAAGGGUAAUUCCCGGUAAAUGAAGCCAUUGCUCACUGUGGACAUCUUCAGAUCGAAAGCAAUUGAACUGAAUCCUGCAUAUCAACCCUUUCUGUCUUUAAUUAGAAAGUGAUUCUCAGUGCAAAGAAUCACCCGGGGAAAAUGGGCUCUCUUACGAAGGCUGCAGGAGUUGGGGGGAGGGUUGGUGGCCCCAUGCACCAGCCAUGGUUAUAAAUUUUGAAAACAUUAGGUAGGCCAUAACAAUUAUGGCUGUGUAGAAAAGUUCAAUUCUCAUUGCAUUUACUUACCUUGUAUUACUCCAUCUGAUGAUUUGUAGGGGGCCAAAUGGCAUUUUAUCACAUUCUUUCUUUUUGGCUUAAUCCCAUGUUGAUUUAUUAGAUAGUGCUGUGGAUUGGGGAUAGUCAAUAGUGUCAAUAACACAGGAAAGAAUUAGAUUAGCUUCAUGUCUGAAUUGUUUAAAGGAAUUUCAGUGGCUGGACUGAGUACAUUUCCAGGCCCAGGUGGCUGCCUGAUAGAAGAGGGGUCCCUCAGUCUCCUUCUAGAGAGAUGUCUUAUGUCAUAAGUUGGUUAACCAGCCUUUCUUGUUUCUCUGAUCUUUUCCAAUUAAGGGGAGAAGGCAUGAAAUGUUAGGCUGUUAUCAGCCAGGUAAGGCCCACAUUUCAGGUGAUCUGGGGGUCAUCUGAACUUCCCCCAUUUUGGCGACCUAUGGAGGGGCAGUGUUGUAGACCUUGACUGCAGGGCCACGUGGGUUGCCUCCGCUUUAAAAUUACUCAGUCCAACAAUCACUUGUGAAAAUUGUAAGCAUCUGUUCAUCCACAGACCGAAGCCUUGCGCCCGUUGCCUGCUCUGCCUGCCAUUUCGAGGUGGUUUCUGUGUCAGAACAUGCAACCGGCCGCUCCUGCCACUGCCCGGCUGGAGAAAGCCCGUGUUAUUAGUGCUCACCCGCCAUCUGUUUUCCUUACAGCUGACCCUUGAGUAAUUCUCCAGUAGCUGAUGGACUGAGGGUAGACAAUCUUUUUUAGGGUUUUCUGAUUCAUUUAACCAGGUUCUCUGCCCCAAGAGGAAACAUAAUGCUUGUUUAUUCAUAUUGGCCGGGUAAAAACAGUGUGGUUUGUCAGGCAAAUAAUAGUCCUGUGGAAGGGAAAGAAAUGGCAGCAUUGUAAACAAAAUCAGGUUGGUGCCUCUGUGCCUAAGGGGGCUGGGUGAUGAGCAGGACAUGUCAUCCUGCGAAUGAAGCAGAGCUGACAAGUGUGGGCGUAAUUGCCCCGUCUGCAGAGACCUUUUUAAUGAACGAGGAGAGGUGUCCCAGUGUGCUUUUUAAUUCAAUUAAGAAAAGCGAAGAAAGUUCCAUUCAUCAGUAAAGUUUCCUGUUUCCGGGUAUUGCCCAAGAGAACUCUCUGCCCGGCUGAGCACUGGCCCUUGGCUGUCAGCAUGAUGCAGCUUGCCUCACCCAGUCCUAUUGAGGGUGGCUGUGUCACAUAGGGUCAGCUUUCAGGCACAAUGGCUCAGAAGAGCCCUGGCUCCAGACCUUUAACCAUGCUGAAUACUAGCGAGCUAGAGAAGUGAGCAAUGGACCCGCAGGCCAUCUCUGCUGGGAGACAUGACUGGUCAGGGUUCUCUCUGAAGGAUCCUGAAAUUCAGUUCCUGAGCCUGACGUAUGGUUAGGAAAGAGCUUGUGUGGUUGAAGCAUCCUGGCUCCUGAGAGGGUUUGGGGAAAGAGGAUUUCCCUGCUGUUUCUGACCUUCCUGACAUGCUGAAGCCCUGAUUGAUUGGUCCUGGCUGAAAAAGAGCCAGGAUUUGGAACCAGGUUUGAUGGGGAGGAAGUUAGAGAGAAAGUGUCUAUCAAAACUGUAAAAAAUGACGUUGACUCUGGAGCACUGACAGUCCUAUUGGUAUGUUUUGUCAAAACUUUAACAAGGGGCCUGCUUAUUAACAUGGAAAUAAUUAUAGUGGUCCAAUAUUUCUCAAGUCUCAGAUUUUCAGGCACUCCUUCCUACAUUCUGCCAAUUUACCCAUUACCAGAAUUGAUACGUACUUAAUAUGUUAAAAAAUUUACUUAGAUGUUAAACAUAGACUUGCCCAAAGCAAAUAAAACAUAGUCACCGAAUCACACCUGUGAUCAUGCAUUCCCAACAUACAUAGAAGUAAAUGUUCAUUCAUCCACCUGCCCAUGCACCCAUUCCAUGUUGAUGGAACUCCUGUUAGGUUUAUGGAACUCCAGCUGUCCUUCUAGACUCUCCCAGGGAGUAAGCAAAGGCCCCUGUCCUCAGAUAGUCUCUUACGUUGUUUGUCUCUGUGCCAUCUUGUGAACCAUGCUUGCAGUAUAACACUCUAGAAAACUUCAGCUUGACCUGCUGGAUUUCCUGGGAAUCCUCUGCCAUGUCUUUUCUGGAAUUACUCAUUUCCCUACCUUGACCCAAUUUGCACGGGGCAAGACUAGAGCUAGGUUCUUUGUGUUGCUUCUGUUUCCCUCUGCCAGAUCAACAGCCUGUAGUGCACACUAAAGGAAAAUAGCUGUACAUUCAACGUCUACAUCCCAAGGAGAGCUUUGACAUGAUGGUGCUGGGACUUGGGAGCUGCUGCAGUCCUUAGCACUCAACCAAGAUCUGGCUGAGGAACAGUCUUACCCUGUUUUGAUCCUCUUCUUCAUGUGCCUUUAAACAGAAUCAAAAUUAGAAAGUGGAAGUGUAGUGAAAAACAUUCAGAAGGUUAGUAUGUGUUCACAGGGAUGCGAUGACUAUUUUUUUCCUCCCCUUUUGCAGCCAUAGAACAAAGUAGAGGCAGCUGUAGGAUUUAAGUGACUCCAAUUUCCUAGGACUGAUGAGUAAAUGCACAAAAGGUUUAGUCUCAAUGAGCCUUUUCCUUAUUGGCGUUUGAUAUUUGCUCAGGAUUCACAUCGACAACUGGAUUUCCCUUAUCCAAAACAAAAACAAGUAUCUCCAGUUUUUUCCCCUUAGUAGAUCUCCUUCCUCUUCCUCUGCCUGAAUCCAUGCAUGGGACUGGUCCUGCUCUUAGGAAAGGUAAGAGCAAAAUUGAUAUCUAAACCCAGAAGGACAGCGAGGUUUACACACUUCAGUAGCCAGCUGUCCAUCUCAAGGGUCUUGCAAAAUUCAGAUGAGAAAUCCAGAUCUAUUUAGAGCCAGUUUCCCCCAAAGCAUAGUUAAAAAAAAAUAGUGUUUCUGAAGUUAUACAGGACAGAAGUCAUCAGCUGAAGGCUUAAUCCCAACUCCGUUAUUCAAUUAGCUGAUCCAGCUGAAUUGAGCAAGUCACUUUUUUUUGAUUUGGAGCCUUAAUUGCUCCUUCAGAAAAACAGGGAUUAGAAUAACCAUUUGGUUCUGUUCUUUGUGAGAUUAA